rnacentral:lncRNA from 1 species
ACACAGCCGUGAACCGACCAGAGAUCUAUUGCUCUGGUUUUGGCAAGUUUUGGGCUUCCAUAUCAUUUAAUGUUCUAAACGACUGUCGUUUGUCAUUUGUUUUCAAAUGAAUAAUUAUGUUUGUGACGCAGACGAUAUGUUUUCUUUUCCAAGAAACUUGUUGUAGACAUCUGUUUUUUCCUUAAUUUGGAAAGGUAUGUUGACUGAAAAGAUGUUUUUCACUGGAGGAGCUGGGUAUAUCGGAAGCCCCUGUGUAGUUAUUGAGCUUAUGGAACUGGCUAUCUGGUUAUUUCUUGUGAGAAGUUUGGGAAGAUUGGCUGCUUCUGGAAGUGAUAGCAUUCAGUUAAGCCGAGUAAUAAAAGAAAUAUCCUUGACAUUGCCAAGGAAUAAGUCAUUGGAAAGAAUAAUUCACUAUACAGUAGCGAAGAAGUUAAAGGCGAAGAAGUUAAAUCUCAAGAACAGAGCUAAGAAACGCCCAAUUGAUUAUUCUCCCAGCAAAGAUUCAUCAAGUAGUUCAUUCAGGGCUGAUAAAGAGAAGUCAAAGUUGCAGAAGGAGCUGUUGUCUUCUGUUGUCUCUGCAGUCGAGCUUAUGUCUCAAGUUGAGUCAGCCUACAAAGAAAGGGCCAGUUAAAACGUACACCAAGCAAGUAGAAAAGUUAGAGUUGCACGUUCAUGAGUACACACUCUAAGUGGAAGAGCUCAACAGCAUAUUAUCGACAUCAGCAGCCACAAAACUCGAAAACAUUGAACCAAGGAAGUUCGAUAGCUGAAAUUCAGCUACGAAAAUAUCAGCUAUUUGAAGACCAACUCAGCUCAAGCCAAAUCAAUUCGAACAUCUGCGUCGUCGCUUUGACGACAAAGAACGCAUCCAAGUACGAACAUGCCUUCACUUUUCUUACCGAAGAGAUCGAAGAAAUCAGGCGCAAAUUUCAAAUCCAGGUUACAUAACUGAAAAACAGAUCAGUGCUUUGAUUUCCAAAUGCUCAGGUUUGGAGAAGAGGACGUCACGUCUACAGAGUGAGGUAGACGUUCUCAUUAUCGAUUUGGAGAAGGCUAAUAGCACCGCCGCAAGCAACUGGAGCUCAUCAACAUUUCAAACAAUUCAACAAAUUCAAAUUGGAUGAGAUUGAGCUGACUGUCCUUUACUACGCUUCCAAGAGAGAUAAUCGUAACAAGGCGACAGAUUUCCCAUUUGACUCACGAACCGGGCAAAACUUGCGAACUGAAAGAUCAGCUUACCCGUUAAAACAAGAAAUUGGGCGAUGAGAACGCUGAGCUUAAGAGCCAGUACUCUGAACUCAACUGCAGAUUCCAUGAGUUAGAAAUUGAAUAUCGCCGUCUAGAAAACGAACGUGAAGAGUUGGCAUACAAAGAAAUUCAGAGGCUGCUCGUAAAGGUGAAGAAUAUCGCGUUCAACUCAUGGAAUUUCAGCUGAGAUGAACGAAUCCAUCUCGAUAUGGAACACUUACCGAUAAGGAGGAAGAGCUCGAGUCUAUCAAGAAGCAAAUGUCUAUAUCUAAAUCAACCAGUUGAACUCUCGUCUUGUCCAUGCGGAAACCAAGUUGAAAACCGAAAUUCAGUGCAUCCGGAAAAAGAUGAUGAUCACAAUCACCGAGUUGGAAAUGAAAUUCGACGUUGCAAACAAAGACAACAUAUCGAGCAAUCCCUGCAAAUUGUCGUAAAUUUUUAGGCAGCUAUCCAAUUAUCUGGUUUUUUGCAUAUUAUCAGUUUCUACUCUUGAUAUGUUGUAUUGAAAUUUGGCAAAGUUUUCAUUUUGUAUAACGUAAAGGAAAACAAUAAAUAUCUUGAGAUUUAUUUUUAUCAAAA